rnacentral:tRNA from 1 species
GAAAUACUAGUUAAAUUAAUAACAAGGCCUUGUCGAGACCUAAUUGCACUAGUGCGUAUCUCU